CCUACGGGGCGCAGCCGUGAGGUAUCUUGGUCAAUUUUUGAGGGUCUGAACCAGCCAAGUAGCGUGAAGGAUGACUGCCCUAUGGGUUGUAAACUUCUUUUAUAUGGGAAUAAAGUGAGCCACGUGUGGCUUUUUGUAUGUACCAUACGAAUAAGGAUCGGCUAACUCCGUGCCAGCAGCCGCGGUAAUACGGAGGAUCCGAGCGUUAUCCGGAUUUAUUGGGUUUAAAGGGAGCGUAGGCGGAUUAUUAAGUCAGUUGUGAAAGUUUGCGGCUCAACCGUAAAAUUGCAGUUGAUACUGGUAGU
rnacentral:rRNA from 1 species